rnacentral:rRNA from 1 species
UACGGGGGGGGCAAGCGUUGUUCGGAAUUACUGGGCGUAAAGGGCUCGUAGGCGGCCAACUAAGUCAGACGUGAAAUCCCUCGGCUUAACCGGGGAACUGCGUCUGAUACUGGAUGGCUAGAGGUUGGGAGAGGGAUGCGGAAUUCCAGGUGUAGCGGUGAAAUGCGUAGAUAUCUGGAGGAACACCGGUGGCGAAGGCGGCAUCCUGGACCGAUACUGACGCUGAGGAGCGAAAGCGUGGGGAGCGAACAGG